AGAGCAUGCUCUUCGGGGUUGUAGGACACUCUAUACGGAGUCAAAAAGGAAGACAGUAGGUGAAGGACCUGGAAAGGUCGGCCGAAGAAGGUGACAGCCCUGUAGCUGAAACUGUUUUCCCUCCAGAGUGGAUCCUGAGUACGGCGGGACACGUGAAACCCCGUCGGAAUCCGGGAGGACCAUCUCCCAAGGCUAAAUACUCCCUAGUGACCGAUAGUGAACCAGUACCGUGAGGGAAAGGUGAAAAGCACCCCGGAAGGGGAGUGAAAUAGAUCCUGAAACCGUAUGCCUACAAGUAGUCAGAGCCCGUUAACGGGUGAUGGCGUGCCUUUUGUAGAAUGAACCGGCGAGUUACGAUAACGCGCGAGGUUAAGCCGAUGAGGCGGAGCCGUAGCGAAAGCGAGUCUGAACAGGGCGUUCAGUGCGUUGUCGUAGACCCGAAACCAGGUGAUCUACCCAUGUCCAGGAUGAAGGUCAGGUAACACUGACUGGAGGUCCGAACCCACGCACGUUGAAAAGUGCGGGGAUGAGGUGUGGGUAGCGGUGAAAUGCCAAUCGAACCUGGAGAUAGCUGGUUCUCCCCGAAAUAGCUUUAGGGCUAGCCUCGAGGUUGAGAGUUCUGGAGGUAGAGCACUGAUUGGACUAGGGGCCCCCACAGGGUUACCGAAUUCAGUUAAACUCCGAAUGCCAGCAACUUAUACUCGGGAGUCAGACUGCGAGUGAUAAGAUCCGUAGUCAAGAGGGAAACAGCCCAGACCGCCAGCUAAGGUCCCCAAGUGUAUGUUAAGUGGAAAAGGAUGUGGCGCUGCCUAGACAGCUAGGAUGUUGGCUUAGAAGCAGCCACCAUUCAAAGAGUGCGUAAUAGCUCACUAGUCGAGUGGCGCCGCGCCGAAAAUGUAACGGGGCUAAACAUACCACCGAAGCUGCGGAUUCCGUAAGGAAUGGUAGGGGAGCGUUCCAAACCGCUGUGAAGCUGUACCGGAAGGAGCAGUGGAGCGUUUGGAAGUGAGAAUGCCGGUGUGAGUAGCGAAAAGAGGGGUGAGAAUCCCCUCCGUCGAAAGCCCAAGGUUUCCUGAGGAAGGCUCGUCCGCUCAGGGUUAGUCUGGACCUAAGCCGAGGCCGAAAGGCGUAGGCGAUGGAUAACAGGUUGAUAUUCCUGUACCGCCGAUCCACCGUUUGAACAAUGGGGGGACGCAGGAGGAUAGUGACGCAUGCGGAUGGAAGUGCAUGUGCAAGUUUC
rnacentral:rRNA from 1 species